rnacentral:rRNA from 1 species
AGUGAACGCUGGCGGUAGGCCUAACACAUGCAAGUCGAACGGCAGCACAGUAAGAGCUUGCUCUUACGGGUGGCGAGUGGCGGACGGGUGAGGAAUACAUCGGAAUCUACUUUUUCGUGGGGGAUAACGUAGGGAAACUUACGCUAAUACCGCAUACGACCUACGGGUGAAAGCAGGGGAUCUUCGGACCUUGCGCGAUUGAAUGAGCCGAUGUCGGAUUAGCUAGUUGGCGGGGUAAAGGCCCACCAAGGCGACGAUCCGUAGCUGGUCUGAGAGGAUGAUCAGCCACACUGGAACUGAGACACGGUCCAGACUACUACGGGAGGCAGCAGUGGGGAAUAUUGGACAAUGGGCGCAAGCAUGAUCCAGCCAUACCGCGUGGGUGAAGAAGGCCUUCGGGUUGUAAAGCCCUUUUGUUGGGAAAGAAAAGCAGCAGGUUAAUACCCCGCUGUUCUGACGGUACCCAAAGAAUAAGCACCGGCUAACUUCGUG